UGGGGAAUUUUGGACAAUGGGCGAAAGCCUGAUCCAGCAAUGCCGCGUGCAGGAUGAAGGCCCUCGGGUUGUAAACUGCUUUUGUACGGAACGAAAAGCCUGGGGCCAAUACCCCCGGGUCAUGACGGUACCGUAAGAAUAAGCACCGGCUAACUACGUGCCAGCAGCCGCGGUAAUACGUAGGGUGCAAGCGUUAAUCGGAAUUACUGGGCGUAAAGCGUGCGCAGGCGGUUUUGUAAGACAGUGGUGAAAUCCCCGGGCUCAACCUGGGAACUGCCAUUGUGACUGCAAGGCUAGAGUGCGGCAGAGGGGGAUGGAAUUCCGCGUGUAGCAGUGAAAUGCGUAGAUAUGCGGAGGAACACCGAUGGCGAAGGCAAUCCCCUGGGCCUGCACUGACGCUCAUGCACGAAAGCGUGGGGAGCAAACAGG
rnacentral:rRNA from 1 species